CUAGUUGUGCUGGUGUGCAGUGCUCUAUAGUGUCAUUUUGAGAGUAGGACUUGAAACAGUUUAUGUCCAUGAUGUGAGGGAGUCUGAAAAUAUUUUCACAGCCCUCUUUUUGACUCGUGUAGAAUACAGGUCUUUGAUGGAAAGCAGGUAGGUAGUAAUUGUUUUUUCUGCAGUCCUAACUAUCCUCUGAAGUCUGUGUCUGUCUUCAGAGAAAACAUCGGAGA